rnacentral:ncRNA from 1 species
AAUGAAUUGCAGGGGUACCGUUUUGGUUGAGAAGGCUGCCGCCUAACCCUUUGAACCUGUUUGUUAAGACAAGCGAAGGAAGCAAUCGAAGCUCUGCU